UACGGAGGGUGCAAGCGUUGUUCGGAAUCACUGGGCGUAAAGAGCGUGUAGGCGGCUCGAUAAGUCUGCUGUGAAAGUCCAGGGCUCAACCCUGGAAGGCCGGUGGAAACUGUCGGGCUAGAGUCCGGAAGAGGCGAGUGGAAUUCCCGGUGUAGCGGUGAAAUGCGCAGAUAUCGGGAGGAACACCAAUGGCGAAGGCAGCUCGCUGGGACGGUACUGACGCUGAGACGCGAAAGCGUGGGGAGCAAACAGG
rnacentral:rRNA from 1 species